AACUGCGAUAAGUAAUGUGAAUUGCAGAAUUCAGUGAAUCAUCGAGUCUUUGAACGCACAUUGCGCCCCCUGGCAUUCCGGGGGGCAUGCCUGUCCGAGCGUCAUUGCUGCCCAUCAAGCCCGGCUUGUGUGUUGGGUCGUCGUCCCCCCCGGGGGACGGGCCCGAAAGGCAGCGGCGGCACCGUGUCCGGUCCUCGAGCGUAUGGGGCUUUGUCACCCGCUCGACUAGGGCCGGCCGGGCGCCAGCCGACGUCUCCAACCAUUUUUCUUCAGGUUGACCUCGGAUCAGGUAGGGAUACCCGCUGAACUUAAGC
rnacentral:misc_RNA from 1 species